GCUUAUGGCCAUACCACCUUGUCUGCGCCCAAUCUCAUCUGACCUCGGAAGCUAAGCAGGAUCGGACCUGGUUAGUACUUGGAUGGGAGACCACCUGGGAAUACCAGGUGCUGUAAGCU
rnacentral:rRNA from 1 species